GCAGGUGUCCGGUUGUCUUCAUUCUCCGCCAGCCUGGAUCCGCUCCAGGGCAACUGGAACGGGUGGGAGGACAUCGGCCGUGGUUUGAGUGAACGGAGUUUGGACAAAAGCUGUGUGCACACAAAAACAAGGUAAGCAGACCUUUUAUUUCUGCUAUAUUGAACAUUAUAAAAAUACUUAGUGUCCAAACUCCUAGUAAUUCAUAACCAAAAUUGUCUGGCUUACUUAAGGCUUGUUGAGAAUCAGACAAGUGAAUAAGAGAUAAGUGAAUAAGAAAUAAGUGAAUAAGUGAAUAAAGAUAAGAGUGAACUGAGGUCUGACCACGGUUGCAGCCGACGGGUUGCUCUCCGGUGUCGGAUACAUACCUCAGUGCAGGUCUGGGACCUUGAAAGGGUUUAUUAGUAACGCCUUUCUAAACAAAUUAAAAGGUUAAAGGCCUUGAGAAUAUUUUUUAGUAAUAUUCUCUAAACUACAGAAGGGUUAGGAAGGCCCAGAGGACUUUAUUAGAAAAGAUCCUCUAAAA